GGCAGACGCUUCACCAUCUGAGCCACCCAGGCGCCCUACAUUAUAGUGUUUUUAUUUCGGCACCUGAUAAUUCAGAAUACAUCUUCAAACCUGUUUUAAAAGCUGUCCCCCGCUUUUUGGACCAACAUUCUGCCACACCCUACACGUCCUCAGCACAGAUCUGGGAUAAUGCCCAAAUUAGCCAAUCUGGGCAGGGAUGAGUCACUGAUUUGCAAAAGUUUGGAUGUGCACUGUUCGCCAAGCCAGACGCAUGCCCACUCAGGCCCUGGGGCAUCACUACUUUCUGUGGGGUCAGCACCCAGAGAGCGGCGGCAGCCCCUACCGCGGCCCCGGGCCUGGUAGAAGGGCUCGUGCGCGCCCCACAGUCAGAUCCAGCAGCCGCGCAAGCCCAGUCAAGGGGCGCAGGGGCCGCCUCCGGAGUCCGGGAAGGAGGAGGACCCGCUUCCUAAUCCCACACUGGGGCGGGCCGCUGGGGUUGCCAAGCGCGCCCCCCCCCACCCCCCGCUCGCGGGCGGGACGCCGUGGCCGAGGCUGCCAGUCGCCGCGGAGGGUGCCCCGCGCCCCUCACCGCCCGCCCCAGGAUCAAUGCGUGGUUAUCCUUACGAGCAAAAACUGAGGUUUCCUGAAGAAAAAAAAAAAUUCUGCUUCAAGACUGCAAAAUAGAAAGCCGGCUAACUUUCCAGCCUUCAGAUUUUGAAUACAAGACUGCAACAUCAAUUCUUCCCUGAAUUUCUAGCUUGCCAGCCUGCUCUGCGAAUUCCAGACUUGUCAGCCCCCACAAUCUAGCAUGAAAGUUCCAGUUGCUCCACAUCCUUGACAACAGUUGAUAUGGUUGUGAGCUGAAUGAAGGCGGAAAUUGUUUCGACUUGUUCACUAUUGAAUUACCAGACACGGCAGAGGGACUUGUUCUGGGGUGCAAGUUUCCUUGACGCACUCAUGAAGACCUGCAUCAUGAACUGGAAGGAACCUAGCUCUGCACUGGACAGAGCUGACUUUUACCCCUGGCUUGAAGUUGUUGUGAGGACUCAAGGAGAUAAUGUGAUUAACGCCCUUAGGAGACCGGAUCACACAUGCUGGGGACAUGUACUUUUUUGGCAAUGGCUGUCAGAAGAUGAGGCUGAACACCGUUGCUGAUGGUGAGGAGCAGGAUUCCAACUGCAAGGGGAAGGAGGGCUAUACCAUCAAGCCAGCGUCAAAGAAAAACUGUUUGACAACAUGCAAGAACUUUGCUGUGAAACUGUGAGAACGUGUGCGAGAACUUGGGUCGUGGCCGCAGAAUGUUCUACCCAAACAGGAAUACUGGGGGAAUGUUAGUGUGCCAACCCCUGAAGAAUUCACUUUACAGGAGAGCCACAAGUUCCAGUAUUUAAAAAUGUGUCUCGGGACGCCUAGGUGGCUCAGUGAGUUUAAGCGUCCUCUUUCAGCUCAGGUAAUGAUCCCGAAGUCCUGGGAUCAAGCCCUGUGUUGGGCUCCCUGCUCAGCAGGGA